rnacentral:tRNA from 1 species
UACCCCAAAAAUGUUGGUUAAUCUCCCUCUUUUACUA